GUCCGAUCGUACUAGCACUAAUGCACCGGAUUCCAUCGGAACUCUGAAGUUAAGUGCAUGUGGGAGUGAAUGGUACUAAGAUGAGCUUCGUUGUGGGAAUUCCACAGACACAGGCA
rnacentral:rRNA from 1 species